rnacentral:rRNA from 1 species
UACGUAGGGUGCGAGCGUUAAUCGGAAUUACUGGGCGUAAAGGGUGCGCAGGCGGCGUCGCAAGUCAGGCGUGAAAUCCCCGGGCUUAACCUGGGAACUGCACUUGAAACUACGAUGCUGGAGUAUGGCAGAGGGAGGUGGAAUUCCACGUGUAGCGGUGAAAUGCGUAGAUAUCUGGAGGAACACCGGUGGCGAAGGCGGCGUUCUGGACUGCAACUGACACUGAGGAACGAAAGCCAGGGGAGCAAACGGG